rnacentral:rRNA from 1 species
UACGUAGGGGGCAAGCGUUAUCCGGAAUUACUGGGUGUAAAGGGAGCGUAGACGGUAAUGUAAGUCUGGAGUGAAAGGCGGGGGCCCAACCCCCGGACUGCUCUGGAAACUAUGUUACUAGAGUGCAGGAGAGGUAAGCGGAAUUCCUAGUGUAGCGGUGAAAUGCGUAGAUAUUAGGAGGAACACCAGUGGCGAAGGCGGCUUACUGGACUGUAACUGACGCUGAGGUUCGAAAGCGUGGGUAGCAAACAGG